GACGUAGGUCACAAGCGUUGUCCGGAAUUACUGGGUGUAAAGGGAGCGCAGGCGGGAAGACAAGUUGGAAGUGAAAUCUAUGGGCUCAACCCAUAAACUGCUUUCAAAACUGUUUUUCUUGAGUAGUGCAGAGGUAGGCGGAAUUCCCGGUGUAGCGGUGGAAUGCGUAGAUAUCGGGAGGAACACCAGUGGCGAAGGCGGCCUACUGGGCACCAACUGACGCUGAGGCUCGAAAGUGUGGGUAGCAAACAGG
rnacentral:rRNA from 1 species